GAUUAACGUUGGCAGUGCGCCUAACACAUGCAAGUCGAGCGAUAUAGCGGCAGACGAGAGAGUAAUAGUAAGGAACUUACCCCCGAGUGAAGGAUAGCCAGCCGAAAGGUUGGGUAAUCCUGCAUAAUAUCGAAAGAUCAAAGCCUUCGGGCGCUUGGGGAGAGGCCUUACUCCUAUCAACUUGUUGGUGAGGUAAUGGCUCACCAAGGCGAUGACGGGUAGCUGGUCUGAGAGGAUGAUCAGCCUCGAUGGGACUGAGACACGGCCCAUACUCCUACGGGAGGCAGCAGUUGGGGAUUUUGCACAAUGGAGGAAACUCUGAUGCAGCGACACUGCGUGAAAGAUGAAAGGUCUAGGAUCGUAAACUUCUUUUAUCANGGAGUAAUCUUGAAAGUACCUGAUGAAUAAAGACCGGCUAACUACGUGNCAGCAGCCGCGGUAAUACGUAAGGUCCCAACGNUAUNCCGAANUAUUGGGCGUAAAGAGUUCCUAAGUGGCCAGAAAAGUCCGGCAUUUAAGCCUCCGCUCCACGAGGAAUCGUAUNCCAAACUUUCU
rnacentral:rRNA from 1 species